rnacentral:lncRNA from 1 species
AUGCUAGUGGCACAGGAACAAAGCUUUCAUAGGCACUGUCAAAACCCCUUUUCUGGAGAACGUGGAAGCUUGAUCAGUGUCUUUCAGCUGGUGAAAUCAUGUUUUCCAGUGAAAGUAGAAGGCCUUGUUGAAGGGGGGGGAGUGGUAGAGGGUGGGAUGAUGAGGUUGUUACCGGCGUUACCAGGCAGGGGCCGCCCUUGGCAUGCUGGAGGACAGACCAGGAUGGGUGAACAGGAGCAGGAAGUGAGCUGGUCCCGGUGCUGGAUCGGUCGGGUGUUUCCUUCCCGGGACUGUCCCAUGAAAACAAAGCCCCACCAGAACCCUGUUGAAAAUACCAUUUCCACUUUCUUGCCGAGACUGUUCACGGUCCAGAGUAACAAUCCUUAAAAAAAGAGGGAAAGAGCCGCCCUCCAAGCUGCCUCUGUCUUUCUUACUAGUUGUUGUCAAGAACUUUCACUGUGUCUGUCCAUUGUGAUGAACUAGUCAAACGAAUGUCAAAUAAUAUUGUGUGGAAUUCAGUGUUUCGGAAUGACUUAAUUGUGCUGCUGUCAUACGGUAUUCUACGGUAUUCCUCUGAUGUGAUACAUAAUUAUUGCACCUCUGGAAGAAUAUGGGUUACAUCGCAAUUCGUCUGAAAUCUGGAUUGGAAUGCCAUGAGCAAUAGCGCCAUUCUGUGGGCUGUUUAUGCAAGGACAGUUUAAUGGUGUACUAAGUUGCUUCUAAAUAUGUGUACUAUAAUGAUAUAAUGUAAAUAAUUGAAUAGAAUGUUAAAGCUAGGCCUAAAUGUAGGACUUUGUUCAUCAAUAUAUAUCAGUUAAAAAUCCCAUUGAAUUUGGCAGACUUUUUCAAAAAGGUAAUUCAUUUGUUUUAGGCCUUGGUUGGACAUAUUCACACCCUCCUAUACUCUUGGAAACCUCAGCAUUGGUCUGGUCUUUAACAUCAAAACACCCUCAACCAGCCUGUUCCAUGGCAACCACAUCACUGAGGAACCAACGUGGACCACACCCACUCUGGUUAAGGCAGUCGUGUCCCAGGGGCCUCUGUGGGGACCUAUGUUGGGGACCUCUGUUGGGGCCUUCCUCCAUUUGGUUCAAUGAGAUGUGGUAAAAUGUAAUUACAAACUGUCCAUGUAUCGCUGCAGCUCAACGCAGUGUCAGUUGUCCCAUGUUCUCUGCUUGGUCAGUAGGUGGCUCCAUUGGUUUCUUUACCACAACACCAUGUGAAACCCUAUCAGUUAAUUACCUUUGGCCAUAUCACACUUAUUGGGAUAUAAGCUGUGCUUUCCAGGGGGUGAUGAUGAGUUGAUCGCAAUCUCUUCCAGGAAAAAAAAAGGGAGUGUCGCAGACAAUAUUUUUUUUCAGUCAAGGACAUGCCUGUUCAAUUGUUAUGGAAAUUGUCAAAAUUUGUCCUAUAGCAAUACAUUAUUAAUUUCUACGUUUCUUUACUAAUCUAAACAGUCAAGCUCUUUAUAUGUGCCUGCAUAAUAAAAAUAGGAAUGCAUCAUCAUAAAAAGGCUGCCUCAUCCUUGCUAUUCAUUUACCACAGACAACAUUUCAACACUUCAAGUUGGC